rnacentral:rRNA from 1 species
UGCAGAAUCCCGUGAACCAUCGAGUUUUUGAACGCAAGUUGCGCCCGAAGCCAUUAUGCUGAGGGCACGUCUGCCUGGGCGUCA